rnacentral:misc_RNA from 1 species
GCUCAUAACAUGUUUUAUGGGCCAAUACCGGAGGUUUUGUGUAGGCUACCAAAUGCUUAUAAUUUUACGCUUACUUUUAACUAUUUCACCCAAGUUGGCCCCCAGUGCAGAAGGCUGAUAAGGGCAAGGAGACUCAACGUGAACAGAAACUGCAUUAUGGGGCUUCCUAAUCAAAGACUUGCCGCUGACUGUGCCCGGUUUUUUGCAAGGCCUAGGAGUUGU